GACGAACGCUGGCGGCGUGCUUAACACAUGCAAGUCUACGAGAACGAGAUAGCAAUAUUUUUAGUAAAGUGGCGCACGGGUGCGUAACACGUAAGCAAUCUACCUUUGGGUCUGGAAUAACUUCGAGAAAUCGAGGCUAAUACCAGAUAAUGCAGCGGCACCGCAUGGUGAUGUUGUUAAAGUUUGAGUAAUGCCUAUAGAUGAGCUUGCGUCUGAUUAGCUAGUUGGUAGGGUAAAGGCCUACCAAGGCUACGAUCAGUAGCUGGUCUGAGAGGAUGAUCAGCCACACUGGAACUGAGACACGGUCCAGACUCCUACGGGAGGCAGCAGUGAGGAAUAUUGGGCAAUGCCCGAAAGGGUGACCCAGCAACGCCGCGUGGAGGAUGAAGGCCGUAAGGUUGUAAACUCCUGUUAGAGGGGAAGAACAG
rnacentral:rRNA from 1 species